UCCGAGCCCGACAAUAUGGCGCCGUCACCCCUGACCCGGAAACAAACCCCGGCCCCUCCUGUGCCCGUGCGAGGAACCCCCACAGACAUAGACCCCCUUACCCGGAGGUACGGUGGGAAUGGGUCUGUACCGUACUUGGGUGGGGGCUGCUGAUACAAUGGGGGAUCUACACCGCCCCCUAUGAUAGAGUGAGGUCUGGAGUGUUCUGCACCAACCCAUGGUUGAAGAGCGAGAAUCCCGAAGAGUAGAAAGCUGAGCAAGAUGUAUUGCUACCUGUACCUGAGUGAACUGAAAUGAUGACAUUGAUCAAUAUUUCCGUAAAAGCAACCAAACAGUCCACAUCUAUGCCUGUGAAACAUCACAUCAUGAAAACCAUUCAAGUAAUCUGGAGCUUUCCGGCUUGGCCAUGGGGAGAUUUGAAGAUGAUGGAAGAGGAGAAAGCGAUAAAGGAUCCACAGUUGGCUAAGUAAUAGUUCCAGGAAAUGUGCAAAUUCAGCUUAACACUUCUGUCUUAGAAAAAAGAUGGACCUCAAUACUUGGACAAUCAGAUGGUGG